GAGAAAUGAGGAAACUUAAUGAAGUCUUAUCUCACAGUGAGGACUCUCAGAUCCAACUCUGAUCUCAUAUCUGUC